AAAGUACGUAUGAGGUACACCCUGCAAGAUCCAUCUGGGGAAGGUGGGCAGUUGUAUUUCAUUUCAACCAUUGAAAUUCUCAACAAUCAUCUUCCCCACACCU